UUUCCGGUUGAUCCCGCCGGACCUUACUGCUAUCGGGUUGAGACUAAGCCAUGCAAGUCGAGCGUUUUCAAGCUAUGUUGAAAGCGCGGCAUAAGGCUCCGUAACACGUAGUUAACCUACCCUCAGGAUGGAGAUAACCCCUGGGAAACUGGGACUAAUAUCCAAUAAAUGAUUAUGCCUGGAAUGGUUUAUCAUUGAAAGGGCUGAAUACAUGCUUUCAGUAUCACCUGAGGAUGGGACUGCGUCCGAUCAGGUUGUUGGCGGGGUAGCGGCCCACCAAGCCUAUAACCGGUACGGGUCCUGAGAGGGGGAGCCCGGAGAUGGAAACUGAGACAAGGUUCCAGGCCCUACGGGGCGCAGCAGGCGCGAAACCUCCACAAUGCGCGAAAGCGUGAUGGGGUUAGCCCGAGUGCUGUCCGAAAAGGAUGGCUUUUCCUUGGCGUAAAAACCCAGGGGAAUAAAGGGGGGGCAAGACUGGUGUCAGCCGCCGCGGUAAUACCAGCCCCCUGAGUGGUAAGGACGAUUAUUUGGCUUAAAGCGUCCGUAGCCGGCUUAGUGAGUCUCUUGUUAAAUCCAAUGAUUCAAUCAUUGAACUGCAAGAGAUACUACUAUGCUAGAGGACGGGAGAGGUCGACGGUAGUCCAAGGGUAGGGGUGAAAUCCUAUAAUCCUUGGAGGACCACCAGUGGCGAAGGCGGUCGACUAGAACGUGCCUGACGGUGAGGGACGAAAGCUGGGGGAGCGAACCGGAUUAGAUACCCGGGUAGUCCCAGCUGUAAACGAUGCGGGCUAGGUGUAGGGGCAGCUACGAGCUGCUCCUGUGCCGCAGAGAAAUUGUUAAGCCCGCCGCCUGGGGAGUACGAUCGCAAGAUUGAAACUUAAAGGAAUUGGCGGGGGAGCACCACAAGGGGUGAAGGCUGCGGUUUAAUUGGAUUCAACGCCGGAA
rnacentral:rRNA from 1 species